UCCCUGGUGGCUCAGUCAGUAAAGAGUCUGCCUGCAAUGCAGGAGACCUGGGUUCGAUCCCUGGGUUGGGAA
rnacentral:tRNA from 1 species